GCCCUGAAAGCAGAACGAGUCGGAUGAUCAGAGACCAGGGAGACAGGCCCAGAGGGGGAAGAACAAGAAUGCGAUCCGCUCUCCUAAUGGUGCUGACAGCCUGCGGCGUCCUGGCUGAAGGCGGCAUGAUGGACAGGAUGCAGCACUGUAGUACACACUGUUCUCAGGAAGUACAAUGCAGAGCCAGGUCCCACUCGGCCUUUGAAUUUUGCAAGGAGACGGCCACAGAACUCAACCGAACAACAGUUCAAGGCAUCACUAUUUCCACGGUGAUGAAGUGUGAGCAGGAGCAGCGCUGUUCCCCGCACCUGAGGGUGACGGCCCUGGUGCAGCUCACCAAGCAGCUCCGGGGUCUGGCUCUCUGCAUGCUCUCUGCUGGGAUGCUGGAGACAUGCAGGGCCGUCACCUUCCCCCGGCGGAACCUGCACAGGCUGACGGGACAGCAGGUCUUGGUCCACGACGACUGCUUUGACGUGAGGCCCGGCCUGGAUGUUCACGUCACACUGAAAACUAUCCCCAGCUACUGCAACCUGACCUGGUCACAUGACCUCAGAGUGCCAGGUUGUAAUAAUGUAGACCUGAGGAAGAAUGUUCCAGAAUGCAUCAGUGGAACCAUAGAGUAUGUGGUGGACUCGGAGCGACGGGAGCUGUCCGUCAAGGUCUCUGGGAUCCUGGAGGACUGGGAUUAUCGCCUUAGGCUGUGUUUGAAGGGGUUCAUCUGUAGAGGUACCAGCGAGCACAUAUUGAUCAAGAAGGAGGAGCCCAUGAAGAAUGCGACGCUGCGCUAUUCCCGGGCACUGCCCUGCCUGUGCAUCGAGGGAUGGUCAUCCAUGCCCGACGCCCGCAGAACACAAGUCUGCCCGUUCAGAAACAAUACGGGGGAGCUGUGGAAGGGGGUGACCUUCGACGCCGAGCAGGAGGCGCUGUCAUGGGAACCGGAAUGCCCCGUUGAGGCGGUGGUCUCACUCUGCCAAUCAGCAGGAGAGCUGGACUGCCAUGACCUUGCCAAUUCCAGCCAAGUGGUCAGCUCAAAGAAGGUGGUGUUUUCCAAGGUUGACCCCCACCCAAAGCUUUGUGUGAAGUUCAGCACGGCCGCAGGGUCCUGGGUUAAAUGUCCCUUUGUAAGACAGAAUGCAGCCUGGGAUCUUACCUUCAGCUCAGUGGCACAACAUCAAACAGUCACCGUGAGCUCCUACAUCAACACCAAGGUGGUGUGGGGUCUGUGCCGGAACAGCAAGCCCAUGGAAUGUGACCAAGUCGCCUCACUCGCUGUGGAGAAAUUUAAGCCUGUUGACAUCAACCUAACCAUGGAGACGUGCGGGCCAGGUGUCUGUGUUCAGGUGAGACGGACUGAUGUCAACUUCUCCGUCCAAGUCCUUCACUGUAACUUCCAGUGCUCAGAUGGCUACCCAGAUGAGGAGAAAACUGGGAACGGCGCCCCCUGGCUACUGCCGAGCCUCUGCUGCCUCACCCUGACUUUACUCCUUGCAUUUAGUGCAUUGAUGAGUUGGUGCCCUUUGUUGCUCUGUGACAAAUGACAAAAUGACAAAAAUAUUUAAGUGAUCUCCCCCAAAAAAGUUUUAAGCAUUUGUAUUUUUUGUGAAUAUAAUUUUAGGAUUGGUCACUCUGUUACUGGCAUAAGCUAAUCUCUGUCUGCUUGAUUCCAGUAUUCAAAAAGCUAAAUUAAGGAGGGGCCCUGGCAGUGCUUGUCUAUGUGAGUGGCAGUCCUGUCCAUCCUACAUCCAUGGAUGACCCAACCAGCCAAGGACCGUGUGGAGUCUUUCACCCAGUUGAACACAUCAGUUCCAAGUUCUGUAUGGAGCAGUCGGAGCUUGGGUGGAUUGUGGUGGCCCCCCCAUCAAGGCUGUCAUUGAUCAUAGUGAUGAAGCAGGACUGGACAUGGGCGUUGUCUCACAUCUCUAUGACCUGGCUCCUCCGAAGCUGACGGCUUGGCCCCGAGGACCUCAUUCACAGCCGGGUUCCUCCUCACCCAUGGAGGGGAGCCUUCCUCUACCUCGACAGUCAAGUGGGAUCAAGAAUAUCCCAAUUCCAGGCCCCACACAGCUUAGUGAACCUGCGCAGGAACAAUGGAAUUGGAGAAAGGUUGAUAUCCGAGGGACACAACUUAAUAAUUUACAUACAAAAGUGAAUUUAUUGCAGGGAAUCCCCGUUUCCAACACCCUGCAAAUGAAUGAUAUGAUGUUUUACUUGCCAUUUGCACACUUUCAUUGGAAUUCUUUUGUUUCUCUUUCAAUAAUUCCUUCUCCCUUUUUUUAAAGAACUGGUGGCACUGGUGAGUGGUGGCACACUGGUGAUAGUGAUGCUUGAUGUGUGACCACAGGGUCAGCUGUCCCAGAGUAUUUCGGGGUUUAGGGGUUUAUGGUAGGAUCCAGUGCAAGUGCGACUAUUCUGCCCCCUGGUGAUGCACAAAUGGCUUUGCUCAUGGCGUCCCCCAGAACCACCCCCCCCCCCCCCCACACAAACACACACACAUAUUUUGGACAGGUGUCCAACCCCAUGGGGAAUUCUGAUGAACAUUUUGAUCACAAUGCAUUUUUUACCACCGAUGCUAUAUUUAAAACUCAGCCUACAUAGAUAUGUUUUCUCAAUCAAAACAUUUUGCCAUGGACAGAGACUACGGAAUCGUUUGUGUGUGCACGCACAGGCUGACGAUGCAGUUCCCUGCCCACUUAGCAUGCCUCCCGUUAGGCCGGGACGGUCUCAGUGCGGCUCCUGCUAACCGGCGAGUGUGUGACCGUGACGGCUGAAUCUGGCACACCAUCCGGCACAGGAGCCAUUUCGCCAUCGGUUUUGACCGCAGAAAGCAUGGGGCUUUCUGCAGCUACGCAGUUUGUGUCUUCCCCUGCCCUCGCAAUCCACCUGCUCUCCUUUCCCACACCACCGCCAGCCCAUAACUCGCUGCCCCUAUCUUUUACUAUCCCUUUAAAACUUUUUUUUCCUCUAAAGCCCAGCUUACAGAGUACCUGGGUACAAUCACGCGGCUGCGUUUACUGUCAUUUACAUGGGGAAGUGCUUUCAGUGGAUUUCCCCUAUGCCAGCCAAGGUUUUGUUUCCUUGUACUCUGUUUCCUAGAAUAGAGAAUGACAAACUGAACGCCAUUGUCACGAACGAAGCGAUCGGAAAGCGGGAUACAACCUUCGCCGGUCUUCACCGGCUCCCUUACUUCCUUAUCCACGGUCCCAGUAACUGUAACGGCACGACGGAGUAAUUAUGCAAAGUAAAUUAUUACGCUGCGUAAUGGAACAUAACCCAAUAAAUGUUUAUGGUCAUUCUGA